AUUGAACGCUGGCGGCAGGCCUAACACAUGCAAGUCGAGCGGAUGAAGGGAGCUUGCUCCUGGAUUCAGCGGCGGACGGGUGAGUAAUGCCUAGGAAUCUGCCUGGUAGUGGGGGAUAACGUCCGGAAACGGGCGCUAAUACCGCAUACGUCCUGAGGGAGAAGGUGGGGGAUCUUCGGACCUCACGCUAUCAGAUGAGCCUAGGUCGGAUUAGCUAGUUGGUGGGUUAAAGGCCUACCAAGGCGACGAUCCGUAACUGGUCUGAGAGGAUGAUCAGUCACACUGGAACUGAGACACGGUCCAGACUCCUACGGGAGGCAGCAGUGGGGAAUAUUGGACAAUGGGCGAAAGCCUGAUCCAGCCAUGCCGCGUGUGUGAAGAAGGUCUUCGGAUUGUAAAGCACUUUAAGUUGGGAGGAAGGGCAGUAAGUUAAUACCUUGCUGUUUUGACGUUACCAACAGAAUAAGCACCGGCUAACUUCGUG
rnacentral:rRNA from 1 species